rnacentral:misc_RNA from 1 species
UUCUAAGCUUGUUUAAUCUGCCACUUCAUAUAAAUGAUUUAACAACCGCUUGCAUUUGUAUGUAUCUAUAAGUAUAUAUAAUGUUUCUAAUUCAUUCAGCUUUGUAUCUCUAUAGGACCUUCAAAAUUAAAUACUUCAACAAUUUAAAUAUCAUCUAUUUGCCACUAUGCUCAACUAGGGGACUAGUGUAACACCCUGUUUCCUUAGAAUAAUAUAAUAACAAUAAUAAUAAUGUAUUUUUAGAGAUAUUUUAAUAGAUGUUUCUGGAAAAAAAAAGGGGACAAAAUGAGAAGAAAGGAAAUGAGUACUAAUAUGGAAUUUCUAUAGAACCUAAUAGAAAUAAAAGAAGAAAGGAAGCAUUGAUUUGGGGACCCUCACAAAUGAAAAAAGAAAAAAAUAAAAGAAGAGUCUAGAAUCGAAAAAGGGAGAGAAAAAAAAACAUAGAAGGGAUGGGAGGAAGAGGAGAUAGGGUGAGACGGGUAGGGGAGAGUAGCAACGAAGAAAUCAUCUUUGGGUAAAUUUUUGGAGUGCAAGACUAGCCAGCACCUCAAAUCCCUUCCCUUCUUUGAGGAAGAUUUAUAGUGUUAUUUUCUUUCACCUGGAAACAGAAAACCCAACGAAAAGAGAGGAAGAGCCAUGGCUAUUCCUCACCAAAUUGAUAACUUUUUUUUUCUACGAAACUGUAGAAAAUCUGACCCUCCUCCACCUCUUUGGAAUGCCAAAUUACCCCUGCAACUCCUAGUUUUAGUGAGAAAUCGACGAAGAGAAAGGGAAUCAGCAUCUACAUUUAGAUGUGCAAAGGCUGCAAUAAAGGUCACCAGGACCUUAAACUUCUUUUUCCAUCUCUAAAUGGUUGAUUUUAAUAUUGAUGAGUGGAGGACACGCACAGCAGUGCCGGGUAACUGCUCACAAGCCAUUGAUGAAAUUCUGAUUUAUUUGAUUUCAUUUGUUUUAAUCAUCUUAGAUUCCAAAUUGAUGUUGGCUAUGCUAGUUAUUUCUUAUUCCUCGGAUGACACUGUAUUGGGUUUGGUUAAUCACGGUUAAUGAAU